rnacentral:lncRNA from 1 species
UUCUCAUUUAAGUCAUUUUCUUAGCAUCUUUGAGUCCCUUCAUUCUAUUCAGUCUUGACUGAAUGUAUUUAAUAAUAUGUAGCUGAUCUUUCUAAUGUUUUCUCAUAUGUUCUAUAUUGUCUAGUAGACUUCUUCCAAUUGACAAAUAGUAUCAGAAUGUCCACAAAGAAACAGGAUAGUGUGUAAUAUAUAUGAUUAUGGAUGCUAUGGAAUUGAAGGUGUGCUUUCUGAGGAAGCCCUUCAGGAAGAGGGUUAUUAGACAAUGAUUAGGCACUACUAGUCCUGUUACCCUGAAAAUCUUCUUCACCCUCAUAAGGAUUCAAGAGCCAAUUUCUUGAGCCAAGUGACAGGACAGCUAAAGAGUACUAAGGAAAUAUUAAAUUGGAUGAUUUUUUUCUCAUU